AGAAUCAACGCUGGCGGCGUGCCUAACACAUGCAAGUCGAACGCGACUGGGGACUUCGGUUCUCAGUUGAGUGGCGAACGGGUGAGUAACACGUGGGUGAUCUACCUUCGAGCGGGGGAUACGGUCCGAAAGGACGCUAAUACCGCAUGACGUCCUGGGUUUAAAGACCUGGAGACCAAAGCUAGGGACCGCAAGGCCUGGCACUUGAAGAGGAGCCCGCGUCCGAUUAGCUAGUUGGCGGGGUAACGGCCACCAAGGCGACGAUCGGUAGCCGGCCUGAGAGGGCGGACGGCCACACUGGGACUGAGACACGGCCCAGACUCUACCCCCGGGAGGCCAGCAGUGGGGAAAUUGUUCACAAUGGGCGCAAGGCCUGAUGACGCAACCGCCGCGGUGGGGAUGGAAGGUCGUUCGGAUCGUAAACCCUGUCGAGUGGACGAAUAACUCACGUAAUAAUACCUCGGUAGGAAGUGACGGUACCGAGUAAAGGAAGACCACGGCUAACUCUGU
rnacentral:rRNA from 1 species